rnacentral:lncRNA from 1 species
AUCUAUCUUAAAAAUGCUGGAAUUUUUCUAUUGGAUCACACCAAUAGUACAUUGAGUCCAGUACUUUGUCUCAGACAAUGGCAAUGAGAGAGGCUAUUUAAAGAGAGUGUGUAAGCCUUCUCAUCCUCUGCAGUCCAUCUCUGUUGUACUUCUUCUAUAUCUACAAAUAUUGUAUUGGAACUACUUUUACCAUCUUAUUGCUCUACAGGUGGUUUUUGCUUUGUUUUGUUUUGUUUUGUUUUCCUUCUCCUCAGUAAUGAGCUUCUCUCUCUAAAUUGUUUUUGAGAAAAUCAUGUGUCAAAAGCCUUGUUUUUUAAUUUUUUAUUUGUUUUAUUUUUUUUUCCCCCAAGGUACUUCCAAGACAUAUGCUCCAGCAUUUUUAGAAAUGCUGGCAGAUCUAAUGAUUACUUUUAUAUUUUACUAUAAUGGAAAGACUAGUUUCCUUAGCUAUCCGGACUGCCUUGACCUCUGGUGAAAAUCCAUGACAGGAGUCCAAACUGAGUGCAUGGGCUGGUUGUGAAGGCCAUCAACAACUGUAAGAUUUUAGCUAUUUCUUCCUUUGACUUCUGUCAAGAAUAAAUUGUGUACCUUGCCUCCUGACUCAUUGUCCUUAAAAAGGGGUUUCACUCUCAUUUUUCUCCCUCUCCUGAUCUUGAUAGAUAAACAAAGAAUCCAUAAACCAAGAUUUAAGACCAGAUGCUAUAACUGAAAAGAAUGCAAGUUUCCUCUAAGUCCGAACAGAGGGGUAGGAUACAUGAUGACAACUGUCUCAAGGAGUAGGGGCUGCUUGGGAGACCAUACUAAGACCUCUUGCUGUGGCUACAGACAGCUGAAUAUCCAGAGCGCUUGCAGUGAUGAAGACUGUAGAAGAACGACAAAGGAGCAGAAGGAGACAUCAAGGAAAGCUGCCAAGCAUUGUCUGCAAGGUGUUGAUUCUGUGUAUCUAUGAAAGAUGGGAUGCGAAACUGAAGUUAUUCACUGAGAUGAAUAUUUUACUUUUAAUGGAAAGGUUAAAAUUCAGUAUUUGUCUCAUGUACAAUACAUAUGCUAUUCUGUUAGCAAAAAUCAAGCCACUUUUAUUUUGCUUGGCACCUUCUAAGCAUGUAGCUGAACAGUAAGAACGGAG